UACGUAGGUGGCAAGCGUUGUCCGGAUUUAUUGGGUUUAAAGGGUGCGUAGGCGGUUCCAUAAGUCAGUGGUGAAAUACAAUAGCUUAACUAUUGAGGUGCCAUUGAUACUGCGGAACUUGAGUACAGACGAGGUAGGCGGAAUUGACGGUGUAGCGGUGAAAUGCGUAGAUAUCUGGAGGAACACCGGUGGCGAAGGCGGCAUCCUGGACCGGUAUUGACGCUGAGGCGCGAAAGCCAGGGGAGCAAACGGG
rnacentral:rRNA from 1 species